rnacentral:siRNA from 1 species
GAAGACAAAACAUGGUGAAAGAUC